rnacentral:rRNA from 1 species
AUUGAACGCUGGCGGCAUGCUUUACACAUGCAAGUCGAACGGCAGCGCGGGCUUCGGCCUGGCGGCGAGUGGCGAACGGGUGAGUAAUGCAUCGGAACGUGCCCAGUAGUGGGGGAUAGCCCGGCGACAGCCGGAUUAAUACCGCAUACGACCUGAGGGUGAAAGCGGGGGACCGAAAGGCCUCGCGCUAUUGGAGCGGCCGAUGUCGGAUUAGCUAGUUGGUGGGGUAAAGGCUUACCAAGGCGACGAUCCGUAGCUGGUCUGAGAGGACGACCAGCCACACUGGGACUGAGACACGGCCCAGACUCCUACGGGAGGCAGCAGUGGGGAAUUUUGGACAAUGGGGGCAACCCUGAUCCAGCCAUGCCGCGUGCGGGAAGAAGGCCUUCGGGUUGUAAACCGCUUUUGUUCGGGAAGAAAUCCUCUGGGCUAAUACCCCGGGGGGAUGACGGUACCGGAAGAAUAAGCACCGGCUAACUACGUG